UGUUCAGCAAAAGCAGGAGUGGCAUUCCUGUCUGGAGAGGAGCCCUUCCAUCUGGAACAGAUGACUUCAGAGACCCCAAGGCAGCUGGUCCCCAAUCCCAGGCAGCAGAGAAGGAGCCAGCAGGGAAGAGGUUCCUGCACAGCAUCAGAUGUGUCUGACUUCUAAGGAAAAUGAGACUCCAGACACAGUGAUGGGUGAGUGUUAAGAUAUUCUAAGUUGGGAUGGUUGGAUUUAAAAUAGCAGUUCAAAACUCUCUCAGUAGCAGCUGUUUAGUAUUAAGCUUAAUUGUCUUCACACAUUUCAUCCAUCCUGACCAGCCCUUACUGUGGCACAAAACUCAGACCUGCCUUCCUAAAAGUUUUCUUUAAUACACUAAAGAAUAUAUUAAUUUGUACAUCUGUGGAACAAUAUAGUUGCUGGGUCUUUCUAUUUGUUUUGUCAUCACAGUAUAAUUUGUUUUAGGUGAAAUGCUUUAUUAAAAUAAUGAAAAUAAAAACAGCCAUUGUACAAUGUAAAGGCAUCAAUACCCCUGUCCCAAAUUCACCUGUUCCCAGUGUCUUUUUCAUCCCAUUUUCCACGUUUUCAGCUACAUGUUCUCAGGAAAAAAAAAAAAAACAAACCUCAGACCUGCACCUCUGCACCUCUAACCAUGCUUGAUGGUGUUGUUAGCCAGAGAGGUGAAGUCUCCUCUCUAUUUUUUUUCUCCAAGAAGUGCUGUCUUGAAAAAAAU